GAACGAUGACCUCCAGCUUGCUGGGGUGAUUAGUGGCGAACGGGUGAGUAACACGUGAGUAACCUGCCCUUAACUCUGGGAUAAGCCUGGGAAACUGGGUCUAAUACCGGAUAUGACUCCUCAUCGCAUGGUGGGGGGUGGAAAGCUUUUUGUGGUUUUGGAUGGACUCGCGGCCUAUCAGCUUGUUGGUGAGGUAAUGGCUCACCAAGGCGACGACGGGUAGCCGGCCUGAGAGGGUGACCGGCCACACUGGGACUGAGACACGGCCCAGACUCCUACGGGAGGCAGCAAUGGGGAAUAUUGCACAAUGGGCGAAAGCCUGAUGCAGCGACGCCGCGUGAGGGAUGACGGCCUUCGGGUUGUAAACCUCUUUCAGUAGGGAAGAAGCGAAAGUGACGGUACCUGCAGAAGAAGCGCCGGCUAACUACGUGCCAGCAGCCGCGGUAAUACGUAGGGCGCAAGCGUUAUCCGGAAUUAUUGGGCGUAAAGAGCUCGUAGGCGGUUUGUCGCGUCUGCCGUGAAAGUCCGGGGCUCAACUCCGGAUCUGCGGUGGGUACGGGCAGACUAGAGUGAUGUAGGGGAGACUGGAAUUCCUGGUGUAGCGGUGAAAUGCGCAGAUAUCAGGAGGAACACCGAUGGCGAAGGCAGGUCUCUGGGCAUUAACUGACGCUGAGGAGCGAAAGCAUGGGGAGCGAACAGGAUUAGAUACCCUGGUAGUCCAUGCCGUAAACGUUGGGCACUAGGUGUGGGGGACAUUCCACGUUUUCCGCGCCGUAGCUAACGCAUUAAGUGCCCCGCCUGGGGAGUACGGCCGCAAGGCUAAAACUCAAAGGAAUUGACGGGGGCCCGCACAAGCGGCGGAGCAUGCGGAUUAAUUCGAUGCAACGCGAAGAACCUUACCAAGGCUUGACAUGGGCCGGACCGGGCUGGAAACAGUCCUUCCCCUUUGGGGCCGGUUCACAGGUGGUGCAUGGUUGUCGUCAGCUCGUGUCGUGAGAUGUUGGGUUAAGUCCCGCAACGAGCGCAACCCUCGUUCCAUGUUGCCAGCGCGUAAUGGCGGGGACUCAUGGGAGACUGCCGGGGUCAACUCGGAGGAAGGUGGGGACGACGUCAAAUCAUCAUGCCCCUUAUGUCUUGGGCUUCACGCAUGCUACAAUGGCCGGUACAAAGGGUUGCGAUACUGUGAGGUGGAGCUAAUCCCAAAAAGCCGGUCUCAGUUCGGAUUGGGGUCUGCAACUCGACCCCAUGAAGUCGGAGUCGCUAGUAA
rnacentral:rRNA from 1 species